GACGAACGUUGGCGGCGUGCUUAAUACAUGCAAGUCAACUGAAGCAGUGGUAGCAAUAUCGCUGUGGAGGUGGCGCACGGGUGAGUAACACGUAGGUAAUCUGCCUUCAGGUCUGGCAUAACUCCGGGAAACCGGGGCUAAUAGCAGAUGAUGCAGCGGCUCGACAUCGAGACAGUUGUUAAAGCUAUGGCGCCUGAAGAUGAGCCUGCGUCUGAUUAGCUAGUUGGCGGGGUAACGGCCCACCAAGGCAACGAUCAGUAGCUGGUCUGAGAGGAUGAUCAGCCACAAUGGAACUGAGACACGGUCCAGACUCCUACGGGAGGCAGCAGUAAGGAAUAUUGCUCAAUGGGAGAAAUCCUGAAGCAGCAACGCCGCGUGAGGGACGAAGGGCUUUUGCUUGUAAACCUCUGUAGUGAGAGAAAAAAAUCCCAAUCUUUGGGACAUGAUGGUAUCUCAAAAGUAAGCCCCGGCUAACUACGU
rnacentral:rRNA from 1 species